CACGUAGGGGGCAAGCGUUGUCCGGAUUCAUUGGGCGUAAAGAGCUCGUAGGCGGUUCGAUCAGUCGGGUGUGAAAACUCGAGGCUCAACCUCGAGACGUCGGUUGAAACCGUAUGGCUAGAGUCCGGAAGAGGAGAGUGGAAUUCCCGGUGUAGCGGUGAAAUGCGCAGAUAUCGGGAAGAACACCCGUGGCGAAGGCGGCUCUCUGGGACGGUACUGACGCUGAGACGCGAAAGCGUGGGGAGCGAACAGG
rnacentral:rRNA from 1 species